rnacentral:rRNA from 1 species
UACGUAGGGGGCAAGCGUUGUCCGGAAUCAUUGGGCGUAAAGCGCGUGUAGGCGGCUCGGUAAGUCCGCUCUGAAAGCCCGGGGCUCAACCCCGGGAGGCGGGUGGAUACUGCUGAGCUCGAGUCCGGAAGAGGAGUGUGGAAUUCCUGGUGUAGCGGUGAAAUGCGCAGAUAUCAGGAGGAACACCAAUGGCGAAGGCAGCACUCUGGGACGGUACUGACGCUGAGACGCGAA